AUGGCGUCGUGGCGCACAUCCGCACCCCCCUCGCCCUACUUAACAUCGCCAGGCUCCCUCCCUCGAUCCCCUCCUAACCCUAGCACCAACCACUCCCUCCCUCACUCCCUUUCACUCUCUCCCGAACGCCUCUGGCUCCGCGGCGCCGUCGAUCCCGCGGCCUCCAUCCACCCCGCGCCUCACGGAGACGUCCCGGAGGACCACCGUCGUCGUCCACGUCGGCUCCGCCCUUCGGCUCAAGCCGAGGCCCUCUCCAUCAACGGGAUCGAACCCUCCAUCAACCUCUCCUGCCGGUCGUCUUCGUCGGAACCGCCGCUCAAGCGCCGCCCCGUCCACCCCGAGCGCGCCCCGACCUCCCCGGGAUGCUGGAGCCCAGGAGCCAGACGCCACCGUCGACGACGAUUCCUACUACCCCGGAGGUGCCUACUUCUACGUGCAGCCCGCUGA
rnacentral:rRNA from 1 species